UACGAAGGGGGCUAGCGUUGCUCGGAAUCACUGGGCGUAAAGCGCACGUAGGCGGACUCUUAAGUCGGUGGUGAAAUCCUGGAGCUCAACUCCAGAACUGCCUUCGAUACUGGGAGUCUCGAGUCCGGGAGAGGGUGAGUGGAACUGCGAGUGUAGAGGUGAAAUUCGUAGAUAUUCGCAAGAACACCAGUGGCGAAGGCGGCUCACUGGCCCGGUACUGACGCUGAGGUGGCGAAAGCGUGGGGAGCAAAC
rnacentral:rRNA from 1 species